rnacentral:tRNA from 1 species
CCUUCGAUAGCUCAGCUGGUAGAGCGGAGGACUGUAGAGUGUGAACAGAGUCAUCCUUAGGUCGCUGGUUCGAUUCCGGCUCGAAGGA